rnacentral:tRNA from 1 species
UCCUGGUUAGCUCAGUUAGUAGAGCGCUUUACUGGAAUUGGAGAGGUCCAUGGUUCGAUUCCAGGUCCGAGCG